UUGGUUGUUAUCUUUGGUUAUCUAGCUGUAUGAGUGAUGUACAUUCUUCAUAAAGCUAGAUAACCGAAAGUAACAAGAAUCCCAUUACACUCCUGAAAAGGCAUCAAGACCCCCAACACGCCUUCCCUGCACAAACACACACUCCACCACACGCAAAAACAGCAAAAAACAACAGAAGACGAACUGCCAAGACGUUAAAGGACAUGGGAGCAAAGCGCAAUUGGAAGGCUGCCAGCGCCACGCCACUGAGGGAAAGCUGGCAAAAGGGAGACUGAAAAACAGAGAGAGAGAAGGAGGAGGGGUUGCUGUUGAUUCUGCCCUCCCUCUCCUCGCCCUCCUCUGCAUCGCCUCUCCCCUCCUCCCUUCCUCCUUCGCUCCAUCCUCAGCAGACUGCCCCUUUUUCCUGUACAGCGAGACGCAGCCCGCGCCACCAUCUUAGAGCAACGCUGGCAUGAAAUGGAAGUGGGAAGACCAGUGCAGGUGAACGUUGGUGAGCGAACGCAGGGGGCUGGACGGAGCGCGCGGCGGGGAGGACAGCGGGACUCGUCUCAGCCGCUCGGCGCCGAGUAAACGAGGACGGCGGCGCGCGACGCCACGGCGAUUUCUGCCCUGACUUUUGAACAGCGGCGCGCCCUUUUUCCACGGCCGCCGUGUGAUCCAUGAUGUGGCCCGCCGGUCGAUUCUGGACUGGCGUGUUUUGAACGCCUCGUUCCGGCCCAAAAGGGAACGCACGGUGGACUCUGAGCGUGGAGGACGAGGCUCGCCGGCCCGGAGGAACGAACGAGCGGCAGCAGCUUGAGCCGUGGACGCGCCUGUCUUGUCGUGAUGGUGUGGCAAUACGAUGUUUCUGCAUCUAGAUGUUUCCCGGAGCAGUGUGUCCUGCAUCACCUGACAGUAGCUUACACAGUUUUGUAAUCAUGACUCUUGUGUGUGUGACGGUUUAGUCUCCAUGUUGUAGGCAUGAAGCAACACAAAGUGUCCCUUUUCGUCAGGCCCCAUGCAUUAACCUGAAGCGUAGCCCGCCUUGUGUUCGAUUUCUGUUUCGUUCGUGACUCGUUGCUAGGACUGAAAGACGCGUGAAUGUGAGACCCACGGCAGCAGUGAAGAAUACUGCACUGUGAUUGGACGGCUCCGUGUGUCGACUGGCACAAUGGCGAAGGAGUGAGCUGUCGUCUUUAUACUCUAUGCAACUGUUUUUUCUUUUCUUUUCUGUUUUUUUUUUUUUUUUUUUUUUUGGCUUGAAACCCAGUGGGGCGGAGCGUCUUUCACCCUUAACUCUGGAUUCUAUUUUUUUUUUUUUUUUUUUUUUUUUUUUUUUUGGGCUACCACUUUAUAGAAAAAACCCUCCCAGACCACCAAGAAAAAUGAUUUUAAGGAGCCUACAGUCCCAAUGUAAUGUACUGCAACAGAAUUUACACUGUGUGUUUGUGUGUUUGUGUGUGUGUGUGUGUGUGUGUGUGUGUGAUUAAGACAGAAUGCAGCUCAGUCCCAGCAGUGACUGGAUGUAUUAAAUCUAACAUUUUGAGUCAGGGCUUCUCCAUAACAGACUUGGCUGUGCUGUAUAAAUGGAUGUGAGACUUACACAUUUUAAUAUUCCUGAUGGCAGAAGUGUGUGUGUGUGUGUGUGUGUGUGUGUGUGUGUGAUCAGCAGGAAGUGGCUGAGCUGGUCUCAUGGCCACACACACACAACAUGCUAUACUAUUAAAAUCUUCCCAGCAGGCUUGGAGAUGCAGCGAUUUGGCUCAUAGCAGCAACCUGCAUCUGUGUAAUGAUACGUCUUUGGGUGAGACAUGACAAAUACAUUGGCUUCAAACACUGCCUUAAUUUCCUGUCCUUGACAUUAAAACACAUAGACACACACUCGCGCACACACACGCCGCACACGCGCACGCGCACGCACACACAUGCAAAUGCAAUAAAGCAAGUACUAUCGCGGCCUAAUUCAUUCUAUAUUAAUUUUCGGGAAGUGGCAAAUUUUUUAUUACGAUUGAUAAUCUAUGCAAAUCUUUUAAAUAUUACUUUUAACAAUCUAUGCAGUGCUUUUGCAAUUGAUUCAAGGGAGACUAUCUUGGCCUAAUUUAGAAAAUGUAUUCUUUUGAUAAUCAUGCACAUCCCAGUGCUCAAGACAAUUACUUAUCUGCCUGGAUAAGCUUGAAAUUAUGUUUUUAAUCUCUAGUAAAAAAAAAAAAAAAAAAAAAAGAAGUCACUCCUCUGAUAUCAGUCCAGAGGCAUAAAAACCAUAAAUUGUGGUCUCAAAUAAUUCAAUUGGUUGCACUAAAUCUGUCCCUUUCUCUUUUUACAUAGAUCAAACAUAUCUGCUCAGAUAUGCCCUCUUUUUGCGUGUUGUUUUUUUUUUUUUUUUUUUUUUUUUUUUCCAUGAGCAAUGUUUGUGUUUUGCAAUCGAAUGGCUCUGAAUGAGUGUUCACCACAUGUGCCUUUGUAUGGAAAAAAAAAAAAACUGUGUCCUUUCUUGGAAUAGUAAUAAAGGUUUACAUUGAAAACAACGGAAAA